rnacentral:tRNA from 1 species
AUUUAUGUAGUUUAAUAAAAACUUUACAUUUUCAAUGUAAAAAUAAAAUUUAAUUUUCAUAAAUU